AAACUCGUAUUUCUCACCAUGUGGUUUUCUUUGAGAAUCAGUCUCUCUUUUCUACUCAUAUUGCAUCUUUGCCUAAAAUUUACUAUUCUUCCUCAUUUUGAUACCUUACCUCCCACUCAUGAGUGCUUCAAGCCUGGAUUGGUAUAUGAACGACGGAAACCACCUUCACCCUUUCUUGAGCAUAACCCGUCAUCUGAGCUUGUUCAAGCUGUUCAUUUACAAGAUGAUCUAGAUCCUGAUUCUGAUACAUUUCUUCGACGAUCUACUAGAGUCUCUCAACCUUUUAAUUGGUAUGGUUUUUCUCAUAAAUCUCUUAAUGCUACUUUAGCAUCUAUUCCAAUUCCCUUUUGUUAUUCAAAGGCAGUUAAAUAUGAAUGCUAGCAUAAGGCGAUGGCAGAUGAACUUCGGGCUCUUCGGGAAAAUCACACAUGGGAUAUUGUUCCUUGUCCGGUAAACGUUAAAGCUAUUGAAUGCAAGUGGGUUUACUUUAUCAAGCUACGGUCUUAUGGCACCUUAGACCGCUACAAAGCACGCUUGGUUGCUCUUGGCAAUAAAUAAGAAUACGAGGUGGACUAUAAGGAGACUUUUGCUUCAAUUUCAAAGAUGACCACGGUAUGUACUAUUAUUUUUAUUGCAACGUCUCAGGGAUGGCCACUUCAUCAAAUGGACGUUAAAAAUGCAUUUUUUCAUGGUGAUCUCAAAGAGAAGAUCUACCUGGCAUUGCCACUCGAGUUGACUACCUCUUCUUUGGAUGUAUGUAAACUAAAGUGAUCACUAUAUGGAUUGAAACAAGCUCCUCGGUCUAGGUUUGAAAGGCUUUGAUCUACCUUACUACGGUUUUCCUUUGAGCAAAGCCAAUACAACUCCUCAUUAUUUCAUUGGAAGUCUUUUGUUGGUGUCGUUCUCCUCCUAGUUUAUAUUGAUGACAUUGUCAUCACCGGGACAUAUUCAGACUUGAUCACUCGUCUGUAGAAGCAUCUUUAGGCCUCAUUUCAUAUGAAGGAUCUUGGUCUUCUCACGUAUUUCUUAGGUUUGGAAGUCCACUCAGAUCAUUUUGGUAUAUUUUUAAAUCAACAUAAGUACACAGAAGACUUGAUUACAUUAGCUGGCCUUUAGGACACACACUCAACUGGAAAUAAAUAAGAAAUAUCUUCGUGAUGAGGGUGAGCUAUUGUCUGAUUCUACUUUGUAUCGAAGGUUGGUGGGAAGUUUAAACUACUUGACGAUUACUCGUCCUGACAUUUCUUUUGCUUUCCAACAAGUUAGCUACUUCAUGCAAGCUCGACGUCAUCUACAUUUGGCUGUCGUUCGCCAUAUUAUUUGAUAUCUUCGAGGUCUCUUGAUCGUGGGUUAUUCUUCCCAAGCGGUACUCCACUUCGUCUUAUUGCCUAUAGUGAUGCGGAUUGGGCAGGAUGUCAUGAUGUCCUGAUACUCGAUAGUUCGUUUCUGGGUGGUGUAUGUUUCUUGGUGACUCUUUAAUCUCUUGGAAAAGCAAGAAACAGACAAGGGUUUUCUAAAUCUUCUACUCAAUCAGAGUAUCGUGCCAUAUCUGCUGCCUGUUCUAAGAUCAUUUGGCUUUGUAGGCUUCUAGAUGAGCUUGGCUUUCCUCAGAAUGAUCCUACUCUCCAUCUUGAUAAUACUAGUGCUAUCCAGAUUGCUAACAGUUUUGUAUUUUAUGAACGUACGAAGUAUAUUGAGGUUGACUGUCACUCUAUUCGGGAAGCACUAGACACACGUGUUAUUUAUCUUCCUCAUGUUUCCACCGACC
rnacentral:lncRNA from 1 species